UAGGGAAUCUUCGGCAAUGGACGAAAGUCUGACCGAGCAACGCCGCGUGAGUGAAGAAGGUUUUCGGAUCGUAAAACUCUGUUGUUAGAGAAGAACAAGGACGUUAGUAACUGAACGUCCCCUGACGGUAUCUAACCAGAAAGCCACGGCUAACUACGUGCCAGCAGCCGCGGUAAUACGUAGGUGGCAAGCGUUGUCCGGAUUUAUUCGGCGUAAAGCGAGCGCAGGCGGUUUCUUAAGUCUGAUGUGAAAGCCCCCGGCUCAACCGGGGAGGGUCAUUGGAAACUGGGAGACUUGAGUGCAGAAGAGGAGAGUGGAAUUCCAUGUGUAGCGGUGAAAUGCGUAGAUAUAUGGAGGAACACCAGUGGCGAAGGCGGCUCUCUGGUCUGUAACUGACGCUGAGGCUCGAAAGCGUGGGGAGCAAACAGG
rnacentral:rRNA from 1 species